rnacentral:rRNA from 1 species
GAUGAACGCUGGCGGCGUGCCUAAUACAUGCAAGUCGAGCGAACAGAUGAGGAGCUUGCUCCUCUGACGUUAGCGGCGGACGGGUGAGUAACACGUGGAUAACCUACCUAUAAGACUGGGAUAACUUCGGGAAACCGGAGCUAAUACCGGAUAAUAUAUUGAACCGCAUGGUUCAAUAGUGAAAGACGGUUUUGCUGUCACUUAUAGAUGGAUCCGCGCCGCAUUAGCUAGUUGGUAAGGUAACGGCUUACCAAGGCAACGAUGCGUAGCCGACCUGAGAGGGUGAUCGGCCACACUGGAACUGAGACACGGUCCAGACUCCUACGGGAGGCAGCAGUAGGGAAUCUUCCGCAAUGGGCGAAAGCUUGACGGAGCAACGCCGCGUGAGUGAUGAAGGUCUUCGGAUCGUAAAACUCUGUCAUUAGGGAAGAACAAAUGUGUAAGUAACUAUGCACGUCUUGACGGUACCUAAUCAGAAAGCCACGGCUAACUACGUG